rnacentral:tRNA from 1 species
GCCCCCGUAGCUCAAGGGACAGAGCGGCUGCCUUCUAAGCAGCGGGUUGCAGGUUCGAGUCCUGCCGGGGGCGCCA